AGCCACUCCAGUGAGGAUGCUGAACAAUGAGAACUCAGGUAUUCAUCUGCAUUAACAGGGAACAGCAGAGUGAGGAGCUCCCACAUCCAGGCAGAAGGACAGGAAGAAACAAGCUGGAAAACCAGAGACUGUUCCCUGUUUCCUGACUGCUGAAGAUGGGCUGCUGUUGCUACAAACCUUGAAUUCUUUAAAGCAAGAUUACUGCAAUGUUGAAAACAAGUGGUGGAAAAGAAGAUACGGUGU
rnacentral:lncRNA from 1 species